rnacentral:rRNA from 1 species
UACUCCUACGGGAGGCAGCAGUGGGGAAUAUUGGACAAUGGGCGAAAGCCUGAUCCAGCCAUGCCGCGUGUGUGAAGAAGGCCUUUUGGUUGUAAAGCACUUUAAGCGAGGAGGAGGAGCUUCAGGUUAAUACCCUGGAUGCUUGGACGUUACUCGCAGAAUAAGCACCGGCUAACUCUGUGCCAGCAGCCGCGGUAAU